UCGGGAAUUUUGGGCAAUGGGCGAAAGCCUGACCCAGCAACGCCGCGUGAAGGAUGAAGUAUUUCGGUAUGUAAACUUCGAAAGAAUAGGAAGAAUCAAUGACGGUACUAUUUAUAAGGUCCGGCUAACUACGUGCCAGCAGCCGCGGUAAUACGUAGGGACCAAGCGUUGUUCGGAUUUACUGGGCGUAAAGGGCGCGUAGGCGGCGCGGUAAGUCACUUGUGAAAUCUCUGAGCUUAACUCAGAACGGCCAAGUGAUACUGCAGUGCUAGAGUGUGGAAGGGGCAAUCGGAAUUCUUGGUGUAGCGGUGAAAUGCGUAGAUAUCAAGAGGAACACCUGAGGUGAGGACGGGUUGCUGGGCCAACACUGACGCUGAGGCGCGAAAGCCAGGGGGAGCAAACGGGAUUAGAUACCCGAGUAGUCCCUGAGCGGGCUGGCAAGGCGCAU
rnacentral:rRNA from 1 species